UUUCCAUUUUUUUUCUUCUACUGAUAGAAAACCUGGAGUGGAAUACCUAUGAAAAGUACUCAACAUGGCUGUUGGCAAGGUCUGCUAAUAAUCAGGCAUAAUCCUCUGGAAGUGUCCUCUAAUAAGAAAUAUAAUGAAUGUUAAGCAAAAACAGCAUCAGGGUCCAAAUUACAUGAUAUUACUUGAACAGGUGCAGGGGAGCGCUUUAAAUGAGCUAUAUGAAUAAAAUGUCCCCACGCACAACUGGGUGGACUGACAAAAAAGUCAAUCACAUGAAUAAUUCAGGCAGUGGGCUGUCUACAAAGGUCAGCCUAUCUUGACCUUUGUGACAGGAAGUGAAAGAGGGUACCGCCAGCUAGGAAAACCCCAAUCAGUCUUCAGACACUCCACCAUUAUUAGUUCCAAAAGCAGAGGCUACAGUUGUAAAUGAACCUACAGUCUGGAUCUGACAUAGCAAAUAUAGCAUGUUCCCCAGGCUGUCUAUACAAGGCUGAUAUGGUAGUGAAUGUAUCCGUAUAUUGACUUUAUCUCCUCUCUCUAAACAGAUAAAUAUUAAUAAUCUAUUGUAGCAUGGGGUAAUGUUUGAAAUAUUUAAAGAUCUACUGGGGUUGAAAUUCUGUAACAGCUGUUAAAUCUGACCAACUUUUUUUUCUUUCUUUUUUCAAAAACCUAAAGCUGUAACAAAGUCCAAGAGAAAAUGGGAUAAACAGAUGUCUGGCUUGACUACAGGAAAAUAGGACACAUUUGGAAUGAUAAGUCUCCUAAACUCCAUUGAAAAUGCCAGAUCUGUGAGGUUGCCAGUUACUGUCCAACAUGAUGCCAACUAGCAGUAUGACUGCCCCAUGUGCCAUCUGGGAAAAUGUUGCUGAGAACGUUAUCGAUAAUGGAUCACGAGUCUAGUCAGCAUGCUCUAGCACUGCAAAACUAUCCCUCUCUCUCUCACACACACACACACACACACACUCUCAGACUCCUUUCCUCUCUUUCCCUCCCACUCUCUCUCUCUCCCUCUAUAGAGGAUCGCAGUAAAAUGUUUUGAUUGUAACGUAAUCGGACCUCCCUUGUCUGCCUCAACAAUCAGCCCUUUCAGCCUACAGCCUCAGUCAGCCCAUGGAUAUGCAAGCCCUUGCCCCGAAGAGAACAAGCAAACAUGGAUGCACUAUGAUUUCCAUAACAUCAAAUCUGACACAUGCCAAGACUAACUUGGAGAUCAUAUAGAGGCAUACCUAACGAUGCACAUGCCACACAAAACAGAGCCGCCUAAUGGAAUACCAGAGCAACACUGGAGAGCCGUACAAGUGUGUUUUCCCCCUCCUGCUUUGGAGGUUCUGACCCGCGCCCACAUGCAUCUACACUACAGACAUUUAAGGCUUGUGCAGCAACAGUCACUGCCUGAAUGUUCUGGGUGCAAUGGGACAAAAUCAUCUGCUCAUAGUUGUGAUAUGCAGACAAUGGAAGAGCCUAAUGAGGAACAUCUGCUUUUGUGAUUCCACAGAAAAGAUCGCUCCUCUAUGAAAACGAUACUCCGCUCCCAUUCAACCACAUCACAAUGAAAAUGUGAGCUUUUUUAUCCACUGUUUGAACUUACGACAAUAUCCCUCCUUUUGCUUCCCUUUCUCCCGUCCAUGGGAUCCAAUCCUCCUCUCCACUGUACUCCUUUUCCUAUUUUACUUAUAUUACACUCAUUGUUCAGCAGAUUGAACCACAAAGCCUGGAGACACUCGAUACGUCAACUCUAUUUAGCAACAAUACAAAGAGAGGCAAUUUGAAGGAAGAGCAUAUGUGUUAAAUAUCAAUGACGCCCUGUUGUUAAGUGUUCACCUAAUAUUACUUUGAAGGCAAUAUACUGUAUCACUGGCUCUCUCUAACUCUAAAGCGACUUCAUGUAGCUGAGACUUCCCAGGCACCAGGGGGAGGAAGUGAUGCAUGUUUUAUCUUCUGUGUGUCGUACCAAAACAAACCCCCUUUACUCCCCUAUUACAGGGGACAGAGUGGAGGCAAGCAGCACAUAAAUCUAACCCCUGCCAUCCUACUUAUUGCCAUUCACACACACACACACACACACAAUAAGGGCCACUUGUAAAUCUGUUUGGCGCUUCUGAAUAUACUUCCCAUACAUCUAACCAUGCAAGCUAAUGCUUUAAUGCACUCUGUUUAAAAAGUACUUAAAGGGUAAGAUGUUGAAAUUACACAGCAGCGACUUCCUGUUCUGUAGACGACUGAGAAAGGAAAUUGCAAAUAUUAUUUGUGUUUCCUCUCAGCCAUGACAGUAAUGAGACACCAAAGGAAACGUAGACAUCAUAACCCCAGAAUGUGCAACAAUGUCAAAUACACGCUGCCCCGAAAAGCAUACGACGCUUUCCAUAAAAUCAGCCCUCCAGAAUGUGAGACCUAUUUUCCGACGGUGGACUCAGUCCAUGACUGACGGCAGCAACUGACAGCACAGCUCACCCUCAGAGAGAAACUUUUUUUUGCAACAGUGAGGUCUGUCAAAUACCCGAGCUGCCUUCCCCUGCCAGUUCACAAGGGCUCCUCUCGCGCUUACGGUGCUGGCAUCAGACACGGAGGGUUCAUGGUCAUUUACAGCAUGUGGGAGAAACGUGGACUCUGGAUUUAUGGAGCAAGGUGGACUUGUUCUACCUCACUAGCACUUAAGAGCCUGAACCUAAAAUACUGUCUUGUCACUCUGGCUCAUGUCAGAGUGAAUGUGGUUAUUAAGUGAUGAUUAAAUUCAAAUCUUUUUAUUA